rnacentral:rRNA from 1 species
AUGAACGCUGGCGGCGUGCCUAAUACAUGCACGUCGAGCGAACGGACGAGAAGCUUGCUUCUCUGAUGUUAGCGGCGGACGGGUGAGUAACACGUGGAUAACCUACCUAUAAGACUGGGAUAACUUCGGGAAACCGGAGCUAAUACCGGAUAAUAUUUUGAACCGCAUGGUUCAAAAGUGAAAGACGGUCUUGCUGUCACCUAUAGAUGGAUCCGCGCUGCAUUAGCUAGUUGGUAAGGUAACGGCUUACCAAGGCAACGAUGCAUAGCCGACCUGAGAGGGUGAUCGGCCACACUGGAACUGAGACACGGUCCAGACUCCUACGGGAGGCAGCAGUAGGGAAUCUUCCGCAAUGGGCGAAAGCCUGACGGAGCAACGCCGCGUGAGUGAUGAAGGUCUUCGGAUCGUAAAACUCUGUUAUUAGGGAAGAACAUAUGUGUAAGUAACUGUGCACAUCUUGACGGUACCUAAUCAGAAAGCCACGGCUAACUACGUG